AACGAACGCUGGCGGCAGGCUUAACACAUGCAAGUCGAGCGCCCCGCAAGGGGGGCGGCAGACGGGUGAGUAACGCGUGGGAAUCUACCCAUCUCUACGGAAUAACGCAUGGAAACGUGUGCUAAUACCGUAUACGUCCUUCGGGAGAAAGAUUUAUCGGAGAUGGAUGAGCCCGCGUUGGAUUAGCUAGCUGGUGGGGUAAAGGCCUACCAAAGCGACGAUCCAUAGCUGGUCUGAGAGGAUGAUCAGCCACACUGGGACUGAGACACGGCCCAGACUCCUACGGGAGGCAGCAGUGGGGAAUAUUGGACAAUGGGCGCAAGCCUGAUCCAGCCAUGCCGCGUGAGUGAUGAAGGCCCUAGGGUUGUAAAGCUCUUUCACCGGUGAAGAUAAUGACGGUAACCGGAGAAGAAGCCCCGGCUAACUUCGUGCCAGCCGCCGCGGUAAGAC
rnacentral:rRNA from 1 species